UGGGGAAUCUUGCGCAAUGGGCGAAAGCCUGACGCAGCGACGCCGCGUGAGGGAGGAAGGCCUUCGGGUUGUAAACCUCUUUCAGGAGGGACGAAGCUACUCGGGUGAAUAGCCCAGAGGGUGACGGUACCUCCAGAAGAAGCCCCGGCUAACUACGUGCCAGCAGCCGCGGUAAUACGUAGGGGGCAAGCGUUGUCCGGAUUUACUGGGCGUAAAGAGCGUGUAGGCGGCCAUACAGGUCCGUUGUGAAAACUGGAGGCUUAACCUUCAGACGUCGACGGAAACCGUGUGGCUAGAGUCCGGAAGAGGAGAGUGGAAUUCCUGGUGUAGCGGUGAAAUGCGCAGAUAUCAGGAAGAACACCAAUGGCGAAGGGCAGCUCUCUGGGACGGUACUGACGCUGAGACGCGAAAGCGUGGGGGAGCGAACAGGAUUAGGAUACCCUGGUAGUCCACGCCGUAAACGAUGGGUGCUAGGGUGUGGGAGGUGUCGGACUCCUCCGUGCCGUAGCUAACG
rnacentral:rRNA from 1 species